rnacentral:rRNA from 1 species
AACGAACGCUGGCGGCAGGCCUAACACAUGCAAGUCGAACGCCGUAGCAAUACGGAGUGGCAGACGGGUGAGUAACGCGUGGGAACAUACCCCUCGGUUCGGAAUAACUCAGGGAAACUUGAGCUAAUACCGGAUACGUCCGAGGUUUUAAUCGACCUUGGAGAAAGAUUUAUCGCCGGAGGAUUGGCCCGCGUCCGAUUAGCUAGUUGGUGAGGUAAUGGCUCACCAAGGCGACGAUCGGUAACUGGCUGAGAGGACGACCAGUCACACUGGGACUGAGACACGGCCCAGACUCCUACGGGAGGCAGCAGGUGGGGAGUAUUGGACAAGUGGGGGAAACCCUGAUCCAGCCAUGCCGCGUGAGUGAUGAAGGCC